AUUGAACGCUGCGGCAUGCUUUACACAUGCAAGUCGGACGGCAGCGGGGUAGUGCUUGCACUACCGCCGGCGAGUGGCGAACGGGUGAGUAAUAUAUUGGAACGUACCGAGUAAUGGGGGAUAACCAAUCGAAAGAUUGGCUAAUACCGCAUACGCUCUGAGGAGGAAAGCAGGGGACCUUCGGGCCUUGCGUUAUUCGAGCGGCCAAUAUCUGAUUAGCUAGUUGGUGGGGUAAAGGCCUACCAAGGCGACGAUCAGUAGCGGGUCUGAGAGGAUGAUCCGCCACACUGGGACUGAGACACGGCCCAGACUCCUACGGGAGGCAGCAGUGGGGAAUUUUGGACAAUGGGCGCAAGCCUGAUCCAGCCAUGCCGCGUGUCUGAAGAAGGCCUUCGGGUUGUAAAGGUCUUUUGUUAGGGAAGAAAAAGGAGCGGUUAAUACCCGUUUCUGCUGACGGUACCUAAAGAAUAAGCACGGCCAA
rnacentral:rRNA from 1 species